GUACCUUCAAGCUCUGCUUGGUGUUGGGUGUUUGUCCUCUCCAUUGCGGUUGGACUCGCCUUAAAGCGAUUGGCAGCCAGUGUAUUGGUUUUAAGCGCAGCACAUUUUGCGUCUUGCUCCCUUUAUCACUUGCGUCCAUUAAGCCUUUUAUCAC
rnacentral:misc_RNA from 1 species